GCUGUUAAGGGUUCGUAGUUGAAUUGAGGAUUGCCCAGCACGCAUUCAGAUCCCGCCCACUGGGUUGGCGUCCUUGCUCUGGCUGUCCGUGAACAUCAGAAACGCACACCACGGGAACGUUUCCUUCCAACUUUCGCAUGCAAUGUAUGCAGGGGGGCGCCCGUGUGUUUUACUGUGCUAAAAAAGCGCGACCAAAGCAGUCGUUCGACAUGAAUUGGAAAGCAUGGGAUAACGAAGCGCAGCCUACGGGCUUCCGUUACGGCUUUUGUUGGUUUUAAAGGUCUGUGGGAGACUAUGGGCCCGCCGACAGGCGGUUCGGGGUUUCGUCCCCACGCUUCCGUAGCGCGGUGGCUUUCGGGUCCCGUCUCGGCUUGCGGCGUCCAGGAAUGAAGGAGGGUUGUUCGGGGGAGGACGUCUUGAGCGUGAGAGGUGAAAUUCUUAGACCGCUCAAAGACGAACUACAGCGAAGGCAUUCUCCAGGAUACCUUCCUCAAUCAAGAACCAAAGUGUGGAGAUCGAAGAUGAUUAGAUCCAUUGUAGUCC
rnacentral:rRNA from 1 species